rnacentral:rRNA from 1 species
GACGAACGCUGGCGGCGUGCUUAACACAUGCCAGUCGAGCGGUAAGGCUCCUUCGGGAGUCCACGAGCGGCGCACGGGUGAGUAACACGUGAGUAAUCUGCCCUUCACUUCGGGAUAACCACCGGAAACGGUGGCUAAUACCGAAUACGACCAGUCUUCGCAUGAGGUGCUGGUGGAAAGUCUUUUCGGUGAAGGAUGUGCUCGCGGCCUAUCAGCUUGUUGGUGGGGUAAUGGCCUACCAAGGCUUCGACGGGUAGCCGGCCUGAGAGGGUGACCGGCCACACUGGGACUGAGACACGGCCCAGACUCCUACGGGAGGCAGCAGUGGGGAAUAUUGGACAAUGGGCGAAAGCCUGAUCCAGCAACGCCGCGUGAGGGAUGACGGCCUUCGGGUUGUAAACCUCUUUCAGUACCGACGAAGCGCCCUGUCGGGUGGUGACGGUAGGUACAGAAGAAGGACCGGCCAACUACG